rnacentral:rRNA from 1 species
UACGUAGGGUGCGAGCGUUGUUCGGAAUCAUUGGGCGUAAAGCGUGCGUAGGUGGUUUGCUAAGUCGGGUGUGAAAUCCCUGGGCUCAACCCAGGAAGUGCAUUCGAAACUAGCUGGCUAGAAGAUGGUAGAGGAAGGUGGAAUUCCAAGUGUAGAGGUGAAAUUCGUAGAUAUUUGGAGGAAUACCGGCGGCGAAGGCGGCCUUCUGGACCAUUCUUGACACUGAGACUCGAAAGCGUGGGUAGCAAACAGG